AAUAGAAGGAGGGAUGGCUCGACACGUGUCCAGGUGUAGUCAAGGGGCAGGCCGAAGCCAACAUACUGUCCAGUUGGGUCAGGAAACUCGGGGCGAAUCCUCAGGACGACACACGACAGGACAACCACUCUGCAGUCUGCCAAGUGUCUGCACAGCCUGUAUGGAGACAAUAUAGUUGGAUGUAAAAAUGUUACUUCUCAUUGUAUAUUUACACGUAUAGUUCUACACAUUUAAAUGUUUUUUUAACCUUAGCUGAGAAUAAAGAACUUUCAAGAAA